rnacentral:antisense_RNA from 2 species
CUUCACCGAGCCCAGCCACAGCGGCCGGUCGGCCGGCCGGUCCUGCCCGUACGUGGCGAUGAGCGCCUGCGCCUC